ACUCGCUGUCCGAUACCUGGUGGUUUCUCUCUUACCCUCAAAUCAGUCAUCCCGCUGGAGUUGGAAAAGAUGCCUCGGGUAGGUCGUUUCACGAAGAAAGAAAGCCCGUGUAGACACAGCAUGUCAACAGCCUCAAGUGGGAGGUAAUGCAGCUUCAACUUCCCAGAGAGCGGACUGCCCAAUUCUACCGCCCAAUUCUAGUGCCCCCACCUCCUCAUCUUUACGCCCCUUUCGUCCGCCCCGAACCGAACCACUGCCUGCUCCAUAGGCUUCCAUGAAUGAUGUUCAAAACUCGGAGUCGGACGCCGAAGAGGUAGACCAGGAGGCAGAUGAGGUAGAUUCUUUUGACCAACAUGUUGAUAAUCUUCUUGCUGCACAGAAUGCUCAGAAGCGCAAGGGACGCAAGACCACAUAAUUUUGGGAUGUUAAAACAAUUGAAUUCGAUGGCACAAUCAAACAGGUCAAACUGAGUGUGAAGGAAGCUAUGAAGCCACCUAACGGAAGAAAGGUCGUACUCAGGUUUAACAAUGCACUGCAACCAGUUGGGGAUGAAGCAGG